rnacentral:rRNA from 1 species
AUUGAACGCUGGCGGCAGGCUUAACACAUGCAAGUCGAACGGUAACAUAAAGAAGCUUGCUUCUUUGAUGACGAGUGGCGGACGGGUGAGUAAUGCUUGGGAAUCUAGCUUAUGGAGGGGGAUAACUACGGGAAACUGUAGCUAAUACCGCGUAGAAUCGAGAGAUGAAAGUGUGGGACUUUCGGGCCACAUGCCAUAGGAUGAGCCCAAGUGGGAUUAGGUAGUUGGUGAGGUAAAGGCUCACCAAGCCGACGAUCUCUAGCUGGUCUGAGAGGAUGACCAGCCACACUGGGACUGAGACACGGCCCAGACUCCUACGGGAGGCAGCAGUGGGGAAUAUUGCGCAAUGGGGGCAACCCUGACGCAGCCAUGCCGCGUGAAUGAAGAAGGCCUUCGGGUUGUAAAGUUCUUUCGGUAGCGAGGAAGGCAUUUAGUUUAAUAGACUAGGUGAUUGACGUUAACUACAGAAGAAGCACCGGCUAACUCCGUGCCAGCAGCCGCGGUAAUACGGAGGGUGCGAGCGUUAAUCGGAAUAACUGGGCGUAAAGGGCACGCAGGCGGUGACUUAAGUGAGGUGUGAAAGCCCCGGGCUUAACCUGGGAAUUGCAUUUCAUACUGGGUCGCUAGAGUACUUUAGGGAGGGGUAGAAUUCCACGUGUAGCGGUGAAAUGCGUAGAGAUGUGGAGGAAUACCGAAGGCGAAGGCAGCCCCUUGGGGAAUGUACUGACGCUCAUGUGCGAAAGCGUGGGGAGCAAACAGG